AAUAGAGGAGCGGCGGACAUGAGUAGCGCGCGGGAGCCCGGCCGGGGUUAUGAUCACGCGGGAAAGGGGAAGCCGCCGAAAUGCUUCUGCCUGGCCGGGCAGGGGCGUUGGUCCCGGAGAGAACAUCUCCGUGACUGUCAUGGUUCAGGCCAUGGAGCGCUAUU
rnacentral:ncRNA from 1 species